UUUCUUCCUUGGACGCCGAGAGGGUUGGUCGUGUCCGAUGAUUCUCAAUCAUUAUUGAAUUCCUACGGUAUUGCCGCUUUGGAAACCCAAUACACUGCAGAUUUCUGGAUGCAUUGUUGAAGAUGGCCUUUUAGAUCUAAAAUCCAGUGGAUGCGACAUCUACAACAUGCGUAUGAUAAUGCCCUUUCAUUUACAAAUAAUAAUGACUUGUCCAUUUAUCCCACUCAUAAUUUGCUGAAGUUAUGAAAUUUGGCUGUGAAGUCAAACGCUUUCUUUAUUCUAGAACAAUUAAGUUGGUAAUGAUGAAUUUGGUUUCUUUGUGCCACAGAGUUCUCAAACUCCAGUUAUUGCUUGUAAUUUACAUUUAUCUGGUCUCUUUUGAAUUUCAUCAUUUGCUUUGGCAGAAUGAGUGACCUGUUCAUGUUUUAAUAGAUACAUUACAUUUAUUAUGUUGAUGGCAAGGUGAUAGAUGAUGAUUAACACAAGAAAUUGGGAAUCUCUCUGAAUUAUCAUGUUGAUUUCUUUUCUGAUAUCACCACUAAUCCAAUCAAAAACUUAUAAGUGUUUUUAAAGUACUAACAAAACCUUUUGGGGAAGAUAACUAAUGAAACAUUCCAAGUAGAAGAUGAAAAGCUUUCUGCACACCGGCUACUUCCCAGACAAAACGAGAACUAUUUCUUAAUUAAUCCAUGGGAAACGAGCGUUUUGUUUUGAAAUCUAAAUAUCCAAAAUUUUGUUGAUUCCCAAUGUGAACACUGAUGAGUUUCGAGAAGUGCAAUCUGUACCAAUAUGAAAAAUUUCUUUGUAAGUUUACCUGGUUCAGAUUUCAUUGACUUGUCGAGCAAAGUACAAGAGGGUGAAUCCAUAUGAUGUCUUGUAAUGUUGAAAAUAUUGACAGCUGUGUAUUGUGUUCCCUUGGUAAUUAAUUUUAUGCAGCCGAGACAGAAAUUUGGACAAGGGGGGGAAACAACUGGUUUGAAGGAACUUCAAAGGUUUAUAGUAAUUAUGACUGGUUCAUGCAAGUGAUGAAGUAUGAUGAUAUCGUAGUUCAUCUGAUUUUGUAUGAAGACACAUCAGCAAAGUCUUUCGCUCCUAUCUGAUUCACCACUUUCAUGAUAAACCAGUGUUCCCAGAAUUCCCCAAAUCGGUUUAUUAUACACCUAGUUUUCAAAAACUGCCAAAUGUAACUAAAUACCUAAGGGUGAAGAAUCUUGAAAAUGGUGUUAACAAUUAGCCUUAAUCAGUUUGUUCGGUUAACUAUCGCCAAUAAAACAAAAUUUGCAAGAAAUAUUUAAAUGUUGUAUGGUUAGUUUUGCCUUUGUAUAUUUUAUUAAUGACCUGAAAUGUGAUGGGUUUUUUGGGGUUUCUUUUCUUGUUAUUAAGAAUCGAUCCAUAUAUCAAGUCGAUGUUAAGAUGUAUAUAUAUAUACCCUAUACUAAAAAGGUCUUGCUUCCUCGUGACAUGUUGAUGAAAAUUCGGAAGUCUACCUUGGUGUGAUGAAAAUUUUGAACUCUCUCACUGAACAUUUGUGUAGAUAAAAACUUUCUGACCAAGAAUAUAAAGCAGUUGAGUAUCGAUUAAGAGUAUUAAUUUAUCAACUACAAUUUGUGACUAUUACAAUGUAUGCAUUAAUGAUGCUUAUUUUGAAUUGGUAGAUAUCUAAUGCAAAACGUACAAUAUAUUAAAACUCGACGAAGAUGGCUUUAAACAAAAUCACAUGGAAGGUAGUGUAUAUCCUAUGGCAAUUCAUUGAAUGUUAAAGGUUUGAUACGGUAAUGCUCCUUCCAUCACUUGAACUACAAAUAGGCAUUAAAAGUUAUUUUUAAACCUUGGGUAUCAACAAUAUUUCAAAUAUCGACAGCUGCGAUUCUGUUUUUUUCGUUAAAGAAGCAGUAGAGGAUGAUAAUCUGCACAAAUGGAAACAACUGGUUAAUGCAAGUGAUGUAGUAUGAUGAUGUCAUAGUUCACCUGAUUACCAAAUGAAGAUACAUCAGCAAAGUCUUUCGCUCCUAUCUGAUGCAUCACUUGCAUUGUCACCUUUUGUUUUGCAGCAGGUGUCGGCAAGACUUAAUUGAAUAGCACUUCUUCUUUUUUUGGAUUAUUGUAAAGAUCAAAUUUCCAAAUUUCAUUUUAGAGAGUGGAAGCUGAAGUUUGUUGUUCAGAGGCUGGAUAUUGAAACUGAUAAAAUAUAAGAAAUUGUGAACAGAUAUUAAUUUAAUACUGCCAUGAAUACAAGUAUUGAUACGUAUACAGGGGCAUCCCACUUCCUACAUUGAUUAAUUAUGGAAUGGCCGAAAUAAAUUGUACCUUUUUUCGCUAAUAUAGAAAGUAUUGUUUUAAUGUUAUAUAAACUAGCAGCACUGUAAAUAAUAGUUUUGAUUGAGUGAAUAUGGCAAUGAUGAAACUCCAUUUCCCAUCAUUCGCGGUUUCCACAGAAGGGCAGCACCGCUCUAUGAUGUUCCAAUUACCUUCCUUGGAUGUCUGAGCCAUAUUUUCUAGACAAUAGUUAACUUGUGAUCCUCUUCAUUCUAUCUGUAAAUAUAGUUCAGUGGACCCUUCCUGCCCCUAUUUUGCCUUAAGAUUGUAUCCAGUGAAAUAAAAUUGAUUAAUAAUGCCCCUGAAAAAUAAGUGUUGCUAUUGGUCAGUACUAGGUACCCCAAGCCAGUAUCACUGCCUGCAUGCUUUAGAGUUGUUCUUGUGUCAUGUCCUCUAGUCUGUUGAUCAGGGCAAAGCUCCUCGCCAGUAUAGUUUCUGUACAGAUUGACUGUGGAAAUGAUGAUUGAACUUGCCCUCUCUGAGAAGUUUAUGAUUGAGGCGUGUUCCCUAGUUAUGUACUCAACUAGCUCUGAUCCGCAAGGAAAUACUCUAAAACUUGUUCAGAAUGAUGAAUUUGAGAUUGAUUUAGAGGUAUUCAUGAAAAUGCAAGUAUGAUUUUGAUCUUCAUAUAAUAUACAACUGGUUUUCAUCAUGUUAAAAAGCAAAAAAAAAACACCAAGCAUGUAAAUGACCAUCAACACCAAGAAUUCUGUUACCUAAAGCAGAAACCCAAGAUUUCCAGUCGAAAUUUAAACUUUUUUUUUAUCCUUUUCUAUUAUUUGAAUUUCUGAAUAUAGAACAAAUAGUAUGCAUAAUGAAAUUGAAUGACUACUUCAAAAGACCAUUAAAUGUUGAAGUGAUAAUGAUGAAAUUUGUCUUUGCUCCAUAGAGUUCUUUUGAACUUGGUGAUGGUUGCAAUGUCUUCCUUGGACUGAGUCGCUUCCAUUUAAUGUAAAAAUAUCUUUAAAUUCAUAUAUUAGCAUUAAAUCUUUGAGAAGGUAAAUUCAAACACAGAAUUCUGUACAAGGUCCCAUAGAUGUAAAUAUUUAUGUAUCUAGGGUGUGCCCGCAACAUAACCUUUAUUGUUGAAAGUAACAAUAUGUUUGCAAUGCGACUACCAUUCAUUUACGGAGGCGGGCUAGGUUGGAGGGUGUCGAGUAUGUACACCAUUUCAAGAAGUGCUGAAAAAGCUCCCAACUGUAAUUGGUAUUGAAUGCUACUUAAAGAUGCAUGUACUUUAAUCAAAAUAAGAAAUCUUUCAGUAUAAAAUACAUUGUAUGUAUAUUUUCAUUAGGCAUAGUUCAGAAAUUAGGAAGUAAUGAAUCAAAAUUUCAUUAUCCGAUUUGAUAAUCUUCAGCUACAAGUAUUAGUGGUGUACCGAUAAUCGGAAACAUUGAGUUUGAGAAGGGUCCAAUCCAAUAAUCAAUUUUGCUGAUGAAAGAAAGAUUGUUAAAAAAUAACAAACAAAUGAUGAAAAGUUUGCCAAAUCAGUGUCCAGGCCUCUGAAACUGAUGAUGCUAACAUUUGAGUUUCUGAUCUUUGUUAUUAAAGCUAUGUAUAACAUCAGCAUAUGUAAAGUUGGAUUUGUAGUUGAUGAAUCGUGCACAAAGUGACCGUGUACUUUUUUGUCUGCCCAGAGCUCCUUGUGUAUUGUUUAAAUGUUAAUCCUCUUGACCAAAGUAUGAACAAUUUUUUAAAAGAAAUGCAUGUAUUUGUGAUGUGGUAAACUGCUGUUAUCAAAAUCUCAUCAUCCCAAUUUGAUAAUCUUCAGCUACAAGUAUUUACAUUUAAGUUUAAAAGAAAUAACAAACAAAUGAUGAAAAGUUUGCCAAAUCAGUGUCCAGGCCUCUGAAACUGAUGAUGCUAACAUUUGAGUUUCUGAUCAUUGUUAUUUAAGCUAUGUAUAACAGUACAUCAGCAUGUGUCAAUUUGGAUUUGUAGUUGAUGAAUCGUUCACAAAGGUACGUGUAAUCAGAUGUUGGAAGAUGCAUCUUUUUGGUCUGCUGAAAGCUCUGUGUAUUGUUUAAAUGUUUAUCCUCUUGACCAAAGUAUGAACAUUUUUUUGAUAGAAUGCAUGUAUUUGUGAAAGAAUGCAUGCAUUUGUGAUGUGGUUAACAGCUGUUUUACUAUUAUUAAUUGGACCCACAGAUACAUCGAUAAUAUGCUAUUUAUAACGCCAAAUACCAAAUAAAAAAUUUAGAACUAAAUGCAGCAUUAUGUAUAAACGAAAGAUGACUGUGAUUAGUUGAGAAAGGAUAUGUACAAGAUACAGAUCAGUUCAAUAUUUACCCCUACAUUAUUUUUACAAGAAAGUUUUGAAGGUUCUGAAUUUGUCUUGGCUUGUUGAUGAUGAUUAAACGCAGAUAGGGACAAUUGAUUGCAUUAAAUGCAAAAUGAAAAGCUUUCUGUGUACUGAUGACAUGCCUGGCAAACCAGGACAUUGAAGACAUGUGGCUGUAUAUUGACAGCUGUGCAUUUUGUUUCCGUUGGUAAAUAAUAUAAGCAUUGAAGGAACAGUGUUCCCAGAAACCCCAAAGAGGGGUUUUCACAUCCAAAAAAGUUCGUUGUUUUCAACAAUUACCAUAUUUAACCAAGUAACUAGCUAUAGGUGUACAGAAUCUUGGAAAAUGUAUCAAAUAUACCCCACAAUCUAAAAUCCAGUGGGAACACUGGAGGAAAGUUAUAAUUAUCUGCACCAGAGAAGGUAACCGGUUAAAAUAAAUAUUUCCCUGUUACUUGCAUGAAAAUUCUGUUAAUAUAGUUUGGCAUCAUUCAAACAUCAGGUUGGUUGAUGAAAUUGGUGAAGGAUGAUGUCAUAGUUCACCUGAUUACCAAAUGAAAGAUACAUCAGCAAAGCCUUUCGCACCAUUUAUAUCGCCUGUAUCUUCCAAGGUUUAUUGGGUUUUGAAUUCUUCCCGUGACAAAAUAUUUAUCUAACUAGAAAUAAUGCAAAAUCAUACAUUUCAGAGUAACUGUCUUCUGAUUAUAUUAUUACAUUAUUUCUUAUCUUAAAUGUUAGUCUUUGCCUUUGAACCAUUAACAAGAAAAUAAUGAGAGAGAAAAGUCUUGUAAAAAUAUAUUCCAAAGUUUUAAUGAUUUCCUAUUGAUCAUACUGUCGGCACAAAGAAGUGUUUCACUAAUUUUGAUGGAGUGAAUAUGGCAAUGAUGAAACUCCAUUUCCCAUCAUUCGCGGUUUCCACAGAUGGGCAACACCGCUCUAUGAUGUUCCAAUUACCUUCCUUGGAUGUCUGAGCCAUAUUUUUUGACCGUAUUCAAUCAAGAUUCUCUUCAUAAAUUCUGUAAAUAGUGUUCAGUGAACCCUCCCUGUUCCUUUUUUGCUAUUGGGGAUUGGUCAGUACUAGGUACUUCCUGUUAAGUUUUUACUGUUUCAAUUGCCAAGUUGUUAAAACCUGUUUGUACAGAUUGACUGUGGAAAUGAUGAUUGAACUUGCCCUCUCUGAGAAGUUUAUGAUUGAGGCGUGUUCCCUAGUUAUGUACUCAACUAGCUCUGAUCU